ACGGCUCAGUAACACGUGGAUAAUCUACCCUGAGGUGGGGGAUAACCCCGGGAAACUGGGGAUAAUAUCCCAUAGGUUAUGGAGGCUGGAAUGCACUAUAACCGAAAGCUCCGGCGCCUCAGGAUGAGUCUGCGGCCGAUUAGGUUGUUGUUGGGGUAACGGCCCAACAAGCCUAUAAUCGGUACGGGUUGUGGGAGCAAGAGCCCGGAGAUGGAUUCUGAGACAUGAAUCCAGGCCCUACGGGGCGCAGCAGGCGCGAAAACUUUACAAUGCGAGCAAUCGUGAUAAGGGGACCCCGAGUGCCUGUAUACGCAGGCUGUUCAGGUGUCUAAAAAACACCUGGAGAAAGGGCCGGGCAAGACCGGUGCCAGCCGCCGCGGUAAUACCGGCGGCUCGAGUGGUAACCGCUAUUAUUGGGUCUAAAGGGUCUGUAGCCGGCCGGAUAAGUCUUUUGGGAAAUCCAGCAGCUCAACUGUUGGGCUUUCAGAAGAUACUGUUCGGCUCGAGACCGGGAGAGGUGAGAGGUACUUCAGGGGUAGGGGUGAAAUCUUGUAAUCCUUGAAGGACCACCAGUGGCGAAGGCGUCUCACCAGAACGGUCCUGACGGCAAGGGACGAAAGCUAGGGGCACGAACCGGAUUAGAUACCCGGGUAGUCCUAGCCGUAAACGAUACUCGCUAGGUGUCAGCCACGGUGCGACCGUGGUUGGUGCCGUAGGGAAGCCGUGAAGCGAGCCACCUGGGAAGUACGGCCGCAAGGCUGAAACUUAAAGGAAUUGGCGGGGGAGCAC
rnacentral:rRNA from 1 species